UGAUUGUAAAUAUGGAUAAUGAAUUUAUGUAAUAAAGUCAGCAUAUCUCCUUCCAGAUGAGCUUUUUUCUUUUGUUGAGUUACAAACAAAUAAAUGCAUAUGACAAAGCAAAUGUAUGCAAACACAUUUGCUUUGUCCUAUACAUUUUAUUUAGGCAUCCUUUUAGGAGAAAUGCCUAAAACCUGUGCACAUUAGGAAGUUAUGUAUUAAAAUAUUAUGACAUGAAUGCUGGCAGACUACGACAGAAACCUGUAGGAGCAUUGCAUACUUGCAUGUGAAUUUUCAUGUGUGGAAAAUAGAGUGAUCAACCUUCCUGUAUUUUCUGGGAACUUCUGUAUGCCAUCUAAUUUGGAGGAAUCCUCCUGGCUCCUGUAUCACUCUUCUAUUUCUCCCAUAUAUUUAGAAGUACAGCCUCACUCUGUGUUUGUGUGUGGUGAGAGAGGGGUGGGCAGGAACUUUGGGGAGGGGGUUAUGGAGAGACAGGGGAGUGAAGGAAGAGGAGGAGGAAGAAAAGAAGGAGAAAUCCACCACUUCCACAUAAGCUUUUCAUUCUUAACUAACAAUGUAUGUACAUUAAUGAAACAACCUGGUUGCGUAAGUGAUUCUUUUCCACUUCAAAUUUUAUUACAAUGUUGAUUACAGUGUUGCUGCAACUCGACACUGAAAACUUGUGUUUCUCCAGCUCUACUUCACAAUGUUCCUAAUGCUGAUGCUGCAGCAAAACAUCCAAGUAGACAUGGACAAGGGGGAAAGGGGGGUGGGUCUACUGGGUAGGCUUUGUAAAAAAAAAGUUUGACUGACAGAGAAUAAAAAAUAAAAAGCCAGAGUAUAUAAAGCUCACAAUUUAAUAAGACCAUCUCUUAGAGAGAUGUGCUUAAAAUGCUCUUCUUAAAUUCUAGUUAAAGAUGCUAAGUCAAACAUUUGAGUAAGCAUAACUAUAUAUUUGUAUGGAUACGGGAUGAACAGGAGAAAAUGUGUGAUUUAUUGGUAUAUGAAAUGUACAUAAUAUUGGCUACAAUUCUGUUAAUUUUAAGUAUAGCAAGUCCAUGAUAUACUUAAAUAUGUUUAUUUUUUAUUGAUAAAGAAGUUAGUUGGUGCAGCGGAUUGAGUGCAAAGCUAGGGCUCAAAUCCACAUUCAGCAUGGAAGCCUGUUAAGUGAACAACUUUCAAUCUCAGAGAAGGGGCAUGACAAACUCCCACCGAAAAAUUCUUGCCAGGAAAAUACCAUGAUAGGGUCAUUUCUUCACAUCAUUUCUGACCAUAUGUCCUCUAAUGCCAUAAAUGGAUUUCCUUUAUUUAUAUUUCAUUUUGUCUGGCUGAUUGCAUAGGCUUUAUGAAUGAAGAUGCAGCAAACACUGAUAUGAGCAACCCUGUCUAAACUUUUUUUUUUUUAAAAAAAUAAUUUUUUAUUGAAGUUUUACAAUGAAUUGUGGGGGAGGGUAAGGGAGGAGGGGAUGUGACUCCUGUGUGUGAGAGGAAACAUAGGAAAAGAUAGGGAUGGGAGUAUUGGGGAAUAGGUGGUUGGGCAGGGGAAGGACAGUAGGUAAAUAGGGGGGAGGGGGAAGAGCCCUAUCCUAAGGGGGUAGGAUAGGGGGGGGGUACAUGACUUCCAGUCAACCAGCUUCCAUCUUCCAACAUGUAGUUUCUUCAUUUCAUCAUCCUUGAAAAUAUUCUUCCAGGGGUGACCAAUUUGUUUCUCUCAUUGGUCUUCCCGUAGUUUUUUUA
ensembl:lncRNA